AUGGCUCAGGACGAACGCUGGCGGCGUGCCUAAUACAUGCAAGUAGAACGCUGAAGAGAGGAGCUUGCUUUUCUUGGAUGAGUUGCGAACGGGUGAGUAACGCGUAGGUAACCUGCCUUGUAGCGGGGGAUAACUAUUGGAAACGAUAGCUAAUACCGCAUAACAAUGGAUGACCCAUGUCAUUUAUUUGAAAGGGGCAAAUGCUCCACUACAAGAUGGACCUGCGUUGUAUUAGCUAGUAGGUGAGGUAACGGCUCACCUAGGCGACGAUACAUAGCCGACCUGAGAGGGUGAUCGGCCACACUGGGACUGAGACACGGCCCAGACUCCUACGGGAGGCAGCAGUAGGGAAUCUUCGGCAAUGGGGGCAACCCUGACCGAGCAACGCCGCGUGAGUGAAGAAGGUUUUCGGAUCGUAAAGCUCUGUUGUAAGUCAAGAACGAGUGUGAGAGUGGAAAGUUCACACUGUGACGGUAGCUUACCAGAAAGGGACGGCUAACUACGUGCCAGCAGCCGCGGUAAUACGUAGGUCCCGAGCGUUGUCCGGAUUUAUUGGGCGUAAAGCGAGCGCAGGCGGUUUGAUAAGUCUGAAGUUAAAGGCUGUGGCUCAACCAUAGUUCGCUUUGGAAACUGUCAAACUUGAGUGCAGAAGGGGAGAGUGGAAUUCCAUGUGUAGCGGUGAAAUGCGUAGAUAUAUGGAGGAACACCGGUGGCGAAAGCGGCUCUCUGGUCUGUAACUGACGCUGAGGCUCGAAAGCGUGGGGAGCGAACAGGAUUAGAUACCCUGGUAGUCCACGCCGUAAACGAUGAGUGCUAGGUGUUGGAUCCUUUCCGGGAUUCAGUGCCGCAGCUAACGCAUUAAGCACUCCGCCUGGGGAGUACGACCGCAAGGUUGAAACUCAAAGGAAUUGACGGGGGCCCGCACAAGCGGUGGAGCAUGUGGUUUAAUUCGAAGCAACGCGAAGAACCUUACCAGGUCUUGACAUCCCGAUGCUAUUUCUAGAGAUAGAAAGUUACUUCGGUACAUCGGUGACAGGUGGUGCAUGGUUGUCGUCAGCUCGUGUCGUGAGAUGUUGGGUUAAGUCCCGCAACGAGCGCAACCCCUAUUGUUAGUUGCCAUCAUUCAGUUGGGCACUCUAGCGAGACUGCCGGUAAUAAACCGGAGGAAGGUGGGGAUGACGUCAAAUCAUCAUGCCCCUUAUGACCUGGGCUACACACGUGCUACAAUGGUUGGUACAACGAGUUGCGAGUCGGUGACGGCAAGCUAAUCUCUUAAAGCCAAUCUCAGUUCGGAUUGUAGGCUGCAACUCGCCUACAUGAAGUCGGAAUCGCUAGUAAUCGCGGAUCAGCACGCCGCGGUGAAUACGUUCCCGGGCCUUGUACACACCGCCCGUCACACCACGAGAGUUUGUAACACCCGAAGUCGGUGAGGUAACCUUUUGGAGCCAGCCGCCUAAGGUGGGAUAGAUGAUUGG
rnacentral:rRNA from 1 species